UACAGAGGGUGCAAGCGUUAAUCGGAAUUACUGGGCGUAAAGCGUGCGUAGACGGUCAUGUAAGUCGGGUGUGAAAGCCCCGGGCUCAACCUGGGAAUUGCAUUCGAGACUGCAUGGCUAGGAUGCGGAAGAGGGAAGCGGAAUUUCCGGUGUAGCGGUGAAAUGCGUAGAUAUCGGAAGGAACACCAGUGGCGAAAGCGGCUUCCUGGUCCAGCAUCGACGUUCAGGCACGAAAAGCGUGGGGAGCAAACAGGGAUU
rnacentral:rRNA from 1 species